rnacentral:tRNA from 1 species
CGGAUUAGGGCCGGUUUGGAUAGGUAUCUCGUUUGGGACGAGAAGUAACUAUGUUCGAAUCAUAGUAAUCCGA